rnacentral:rRNA from 1 species
UACGAAGGGAGCUAGCGUUGUUCGGAAUCACUGGGCGUAAAGCGCACGUAGGCGGAUUUGCCAGUCAGGGGUGAAAUCCCGGGGCUCAACCUCGGAACUGCCUUUGAUACAGCAAGUCUUGAGUUCGAGAGAGGUGGGUGGAAUUCCUAGUGUAGAGGUGAAAUUCGUAGGUAUUAGGAAGAACACCGGUGGCGAAGGCGGCCCACUGGCUCGACACUGACGCUGAGGUGCGAAAGCGUGGGGAGCAAACAGGG